GGCAAAAUGAUGAAAACUUUGUCAUCUGAAACUGAUGUGGAGCUUUAUAUCAUUCUGGUCUUCAAAGUUCUCUGAUUGCU